AGUGAACGCUGGCGGUAGGCCUAACACAUGCAAGUCGAACGGCAGCACAGUAAGAGCUUGCUCUUACGGGUGGCGAGUGGCGGACGGGUGAGGAAUAAAUCGGAAUCUACUUUUUCGUGGGGGAUAACGUAGGGAAACUUACGCUAAUACCGCAUACGACCUACGGGUGAAAGCAGGGGAUCUUCGGACCUUGCGCGAUUGAAUGAGCCGAUGUCGGAUUAGCUAGUUGGCGGGGUAAAGGCCCACCAAGGCGACGAUCCGUAGCUGGUCUGAGAGGAUGAUCAGCCACACUGGAACUGAGACACGGUCCAGACUCCUACGGGAGGCAGCAGUGGGGAAUAUUGGACAAUGGGCGCAAGCCUGAUCCAGCCAUACCGCGUGGGUGAGGAAGGCCUUCGGGUUGUAAAGCCCUUUUGUUGGGAAAGAAAAGCAGCAGGUUAAUACCCCGCUGUUCUGACGGUACCCAAAGAAUAAGCACCGGCUAACUUCGUG
rnacentral:rRNA from 1 species